ACUACGGGAGGCAGCAGUGAGGAAUAUUGGUCAAUGGACGAGAGUCUGAACCAGCCAAGUAGCGUGAAGGAUGACUGCCCUAUGGGUUGUAAACUUCUUUUAUAUGGGAAUAAAACGUUCCACGUGUGGGAUUUUGUAUGUAUCAUAUGAAUAAAGAUCGGCUAACUCCGUGCCAGCAGCCGCGGUAAUACGGAGGAUCCGAGCGUUAUCCGGAUUUAUUGGGUUUAAAGGGAGCGUAGGUGGAUUGGUAAGUCAGUUGUGAAAGUUUGCGGCUCAACCGUAAAAUUGCAGUUGAAACUGGCAGUCUUGAGUACAGUAGAGGUGGGCGGAAUUCGUGGUGUAGCGGUGAAAUGCUUAGAUAUCACGAAGAACUCCGAUUGCGAAGGCAGUUCACUGGACUGCAACUGACACUGAGGCUCGAAAGUGUGGGUAGCAAACAGGAUUAGAUACCCGUGUAGUC
rnacentral:rRNA from 1 species